rnacentral:rRNA from 1 species
ACGGAAGGCAGCAGUGAGGAAUAUUGGUCAAUGGACGAGAGUCUGAACCAGCCAAGUCGCGUGAAGGAAGACGGUUCUAUGGAUUGUAAACUUCUUUUGUCCGAGGGUAAAGUGAGAGAUGCGUCUCUUAUUGCAAGUAUCGGACGAAUAAGCAUCGGCUAACUCCGUGCCAGCAGCCGCGGUAAUACGGAGGAUGCGAGCGUUAUCCGGAUUUAUUGGGUUUAAAGGGUGCGUAGGCGGAUGAUUAAGUCUGUGGUGAAAGCGUGCGGCUCAACCGUACCGAGCCAUGGAAACUGGUUGUCUUGAGUGUAAACGAGGUAGGCGGAAUGUGACAUGUAGCGGUGAAAUGCUUAGAUAUGUCACAGAACUCCGAUUGCGAAGGCAGCUUACCAGCAUACAACUGACGCUGAGGCACGAAAGCGUGGGUAUCGAACAGGAUUAGAUACCCUGGUA